GCCCUCCACAUGAAAAUAGUACCAACACAUCCAAGCGAUAUUAACUGUAGAAAUAUUUACGCUCAUGCAGCAACUUAGACUGUAUUAAAAAUUACAAAAAUAUAUAUUACAAAAAAGGAUUUAUAUAGCUGGCUCUAACAAGUUUGAAAUUAAGGCUUAAUUGUUGUUGUAUAUAUCAUAUAAAAUUGCAAUUUGCUUAUAUAUAACUUGCAAGCUCUAGCUAAUACUGCAACCCUCUUCAGAAGACGCAUCGGCAUCUGAAAGCCCUAAAACAUAUGCCUCUCCCUCAUCUUCAUCACUCUCGACAUCAGCUCUACUGUAUCUCCUUUCUAUGUAUGCCAGUGUCUGCCGCCUUUGCAGGCGCAGAACAUGCAUGAUGACAUCUGGAGUAAGAGUUACCUGUGAACGAUGCUCUCUGCCCUGCCUAUUUGAUUCCAUAAUCUUUUCAACAUUGUCAGGAAGUGAAGGAGCUUCACUUGCCAUGGGAACCCAUAGCUUCAUACUCUUUUCUAUUCCACAGCUAGCAAACAUAGGCAUAUGUGGAUGGGGCUCUAGUUGAUUUACUAUAUGUCGAUCACCAUGCAUUAAACGCACAAGCUUACCACCUUGCUUCUCCCAGAUAAAUAUAUGGCCACAAUCAGACCCACUCAAUACAUAUUCAUCAUUAGGGCCAAAGAAACUCACUCCUUUAACAGUCCGUGAAUUUCUGUGACCUAAGUAAACAUGAGGCUCCUCAAGUUUCUUCAAAUCUUCAGGGCUUAUAGACAAUGGGUAAGGUCCCAUUCCCAUGUUCUUCUGAAACAGAUAAAUAAGUUCAUCAUUGUAAGAGACGAGCAAUUCACUAGUGUUUGAGUAAGCCAAUCCUGUAAUAUGCACAUUUUUAGACCCUAUCAGGUGAUGAGGGCAGAAUGUGUUUACAGGUGUAUCUGAAUGAAUUGAUGCAUCUGAUUUGCAUUUUCUUAUGUCAUAGACAUGUGCAAAUUCAUCGGAACCUCCUACAGCAAAGUAAUUUGGAUUUCUUGGGUCAAUUACAAUGGCGUUCAAUCUUAUACUAUUAGAAGGCCGUUUGCUAUUUUCUGAGAAUGAGGAGCAAUAAAAAAGCUUUGUAGCAGACCCACUGCGCAGAUCGAAAUGUUGCACAAAACCAUCUUCACCACAGCUAUAAAAUAUAUGGGGACUUCCAGGCUCCACGGCAAGCUUGUAAAUGUGCCCUUGAUGCUUCCCCAACUCUGUUGUAUCAACUUGGCCAUUCUCCAAGACCUGGGCAAGCCUGACCUGGCCAUCAGCUGAGGAAGUAACUAUUCUCCGAUCAUCAGUGAAUGGCAUGAUACGGGUCUGAAAUAUGUUGUCAGAGUGGCCAGAAGGAAAUGAAAGCUUUCUACUUUUAGUUGCCCAAUCCCAAAACAUAACCUGUGUGUCAUCGGAACCUGACACGAGAAGAUCGCCAGUAGAGUUAAAUUCUACAGCAUUUACACAACCCUCAUGACCAAUUAGCUCCCCAUAAAGAUCGAUUUGCUUCACAACUACCUCAGAAGCAGAGAAUCGACGAGUGAAAGUCUGAGACAAUCCCAAUUCUCUCUUACAAAUCUCAGAAAAGCCAUAUCUAGUUCUCUUUGGAACUUCCAUCUAGCAGAGUUCUGUAAAUUUCCUGCUGCUCUUCUACUACUGUUUUUUCUGUCGAACUGUGCAGAGAAAGUCUG
rnacentral:misc_RNA from 1 species